GACGAACGCUGGCGGCGUGCUUAACACAUGCAAGUCGAACGGAAAGGUCCUGCUUAUGUGGGGAGCUCGAGGGGCGAACGGGUGAGUAACACGUGAGUAACCUGCCCCGCACUUUGGGAUAACCUCAGGAAACUGGGGCUAAUACCGGAUAGGAGCUCCUGCUGCAUGGUGGGGGUUGGAAAGUUUCGGCGGUUGGGGAUGGACUCGCGGCUUAUCAGCUUGUUGGUGGGGUAGUGGCUUACCAAGGCCUUGACGGGUAGCCGGCCUGGGAGGGUGAGCGGCCACAUUAGGACUGGGAUACGGCCCGGACUCCUACGGGAGGCGACAGUGGAGAGUAUUGCACUGUGGGCGGAGGCCUGGUGCAGCCACGCCGCGUGCGGGAUGACGGCCUUCGGGUUGUGUACCGCUUUCGCCUGUGACGAGACGUGAGUGACGGUAAUGGAUGAAGAAGCACCGGCUAACUACGUG
rnacentral:rRNA from 1 species